UACGGAGGAUUCAAGCGUUAUCCGGAUUUAUUGGGUUUAAAGGGUGCGUAGGCGGUCGGAUAAGUUAGAGGUGAAAUCCCGGGGCUCAACUUCGGAAUUGCCUCUGAUACUGUUCGGCUAGAGAGUAGUUGCGGUAGGCGGAAUGUAUGGUGUAGCGGUGAAAUGCUUAGAGAUCAUACAGAACACCGAUUGCGAAGGCAGCUUACCAAGCUACUUCUGACGUUGAGGCACGAAGGCGUGGGGAGCAAACAGG
rnacentral:rRNA from 1 species